rnacentral:tRNA from 8 species
GGAGAAUUAGCUCAGCUGGGAGAGCGUCUGCCUUACAAGCAGGAUGUCGGGGGUUCGAGCCCCUCAUUCUCCACCA